ACUCUGAGUAGGUAACAGGUACCAGCUACUGUCAGCAGGGAGGAAGGUAUGUGGUGACCACGAGUCCAGACCUGAGGGUCCUGACCCUCUAAUGCGGCCUCUCACCAGUGUUCGCAGAAACCCACCCGCUGAUUCAAUACGGGGACCAGGAACCUGCCAUGACAGUCACGACUCAGUCUGCCUGCACCUACAUGAUUAAAAAGCUUUAUUGCUCACACAAAGCCUGUUUGGUGGUCUCUUCAUAUGGAUGCGCAUAACAUUUGGUGCCGAAGACCCCGGACAGGGUGACUCCUUCGGGAGAUUGGUCCCCUCUCCUCACCCUCACUCCAUGAGAAGAUCCACCUACGACCUCAGGUCCUCAGACCAGCCCAAGGAACAUCUCACCAAUUUCAAACCGGGCUUCCCUCUUGUCUGGAGGAAAAAGAAAAAAGAGAACCAGACUUAGACACAACUUCUUGUGGGCACAUAUUCAGAAGGCAUCUCACUGGAGAGGGUUUAGUUCUCCUUAGCAGAAGAUAAGAUUUCAAGAUUUCAGCUAAGACUCAUCUCUCUGCAAAUCUUUCUUUUGAGAGCAUCUUCACCAGGAGGAGAUUCCAUCUCAAGAGACCACUUUCACUGCUCAUAUGUAAGAAGCAACUCUUCAUCUGUUCAAGUUUGAUCAUGAGAGUGCGGCAAUUCAGUCACAACUUCAGGCUCCACUUCUAGUUCUAGUUCUCUUGCUGUUUCCACCACAUCUACAGCGACUUCCUCCACUGAAGACGUGAACCCCUGAAAGUCAUCUAUGGGGGUUGGAAUCAAUGUCUUUCACACUCCUGUUAAUGUUGGUAUUUUGACCUCCUCCCAUGAAUUACAAAUGUUCCUAAUGGCAUCUAGAAUAAUGACUACUUUCCAGAAGCUUUUCAAUUUGCUUUGCUCAGAUCCAUCAAUGGAAUCACUAUCAAUGGUAGCUAUAUAAACUAUAUAAGGCUAUAUAUAUAUAUAUAGCUAUUUCUUAAUAGCCUUAUGAAAUAUAUUUCUUAAUAAGACUUGAAAGUCUUGGUCCAUGGACUGCAGAAUGGAUGUUUGUGUUAGCAGGGAUGAAAACAACAUGAAUAUUCUCGUACAUCUCCAACACAGCUCUUGAUCGACAUGGUGCAGAGCAGUAAUAUUUUGAAAGGAAUCUUUUUUUCUGAGCAAUAGUUCUCAAUAGUGGGCUUGAAAUAUUCAGUAAACCAUGCUGUAAACAGAUGUGUUGUCAUCCAGGCUUUAUUGUUCCAUUUAUGGAGCACAGAUAGAGUAGAUUUCGCAUAAUUCUUAAUGACACCAGGAUUUACAAAAUAGUAAAUGAACAUUUACUUCAACUUAAAGUCAUCAGCUGCAUUCACCUCUAAAAAGAGAGUCAGCCUGUCCUGUGGAGCUUUGCAGCUUGCCUUGACAUCUCCUCUCUAGCUGUGAAAGUCCUGGAUGGCAUCUUCUUCCAACAUAAGACUGUUUUGUCUACACUGAAAAUCUGUUGUUUCGUGUAGACACUUUCAUCAAUUAUCUUAUCUAGAUUUUCUGGAUAACUUGCCACAGCUUCUCCCUUUGCACUUGCUGCUUCAUCUUGCAUUUUUAUGUUAUGGAGAUGUUGUCUUUCAUUAAACCUCACAAACCAA